CAUGCAAGUCGAGCGGAUGAAGGGAGCUUGCUCCUGGAUUCAGCGGCGGACGGGUGAGUAAUGCCUAGGAAUCUGCCUGGUAGUGGGGGAUAACGUCCGGAAACGGGCGCUAAUACCGCAUACGUCCUGAGGGAGAAAGUGGGGGAUCUUCGGACCUCACGCUAUCAGAUGAGCCUAGGUCGGAUUAGCUAGUUGGUGGGGUAAAGGCCUACCAAGGCGACGAUCCGUAACUGGUCUGAGAGGAUGAUCAGUCACACUGGAACUGAGACACGGUCCAGACUCCUACGGGAGGCAGCAGUGGGGAAUAUUGGACAAUGGGCGAAAGCCUGAUCCAGCCAUGCCGCGUGUGUGAAGAAGGUCUUCGGAUUGUAAAGCACUUUAAGUUGGGAGGAAGGGCAGUAAGUUAAUACCUUGCUGUUUUGACGUUACCAACAGAAUAAGCACCGGCUAACUUCGUGCCAGCAGCCGCGGUAAUACGAAGGGUGCAAGCGUUAAUCGGAAUUACUGGGCGUAAAGCGCGCGUAGGUGGUUCAGCAAGUUGGAUGUGAAAUCCCCGGGCUCAACCUGGGAACUGCAUCCAAAACUACUGAGCUAGAGUACGGUAGAGGGUGGUGGAAUUUCCUGUGUAGCGGUGAAAUGCGUAGAUAUAGGAAGGAACACCAGUGGCGAAGGCGACCACCUGGACUGAUACUGACACUGAGGUGCGAAAGC
rnacentral:rRNA from 1 species